rnacentral:lncRNA from 1 species
AUGCAUCCCGCAAGGUAAUAUAGUUGGCAAGGGUAAGAUGCACAACAAGGGACAUGAUUGCCAGCUUGCGCAUAGGUUUCAUGAGACCUAUUUAACAAUCAUGUUAAACAAAAAUUACAUGAGCAUAACCCUGGUAAAAAUAUUGUAGGUAGUUUAAAUUUCAAAACAUAACAAAUUUAAUGGUCGUUUUAUUAUUUAGGUGGACAUAGGUGAGAGAGUGACAACUUUUUAGCUUGAUUUUGACUAGCGAUAUAAUAUAUUGUAUGAAAUAAUUAUAUCAUUUAAUAUGUGUAGUGCAUGUGCAAGGCAACAGCUGGUAGC